rnacentral:ncRNA from 1 species
UGAGUUUGAUCUUGGCUCAGAUAGAACGGUAGAAGCAGGUCUUACACAUGCGAGUUGGUUUGCCUUAGCAAAAAGCAUACGGGUGAGGAAAAUUAUUACGCUACCUCUGCAAAGUGUUUACUGCAUUGACGAUUGGCUUCGUGCAGAGAUGCUACUUAAUAAGAUUAGUCGGAAAAAUAAUAAUUAUUUUUACUUUACCGUCAAUGAUCUUUAGUUGGUUUGAAAGAACGAACAACCACAAUAGAACUGAGAGAAGGUCUAUACUUAUUAGAGGCUGCAGUGAAGAAUCUUGAACAAUGGGCGUAAGCCUGAUUCAGCCAUGCUGCGUGAGUGAAUGAAGGUUUACUGUAAAGCUCUUUUUUUGGAGAGCAUAAUGAGAGUAUCCAAAGAAUCAACAGCGUCCAACUCUGUGCCAGCAGACGCGGUAAUACAGAGGCUGUAACUUUUAUCUUAAGGACUCGGCGUAAAGGACUUGUAGGCGGACUUUAAUAGUGUAAUUUGAAAGACCGUUUUUUAAGAAUGUGUUAAUUAUAUAGAAGUACUAGAGUUUUUGUAAUGUUAGUAGUAUUUUACGAGGAGAGAUAAAAUGUGUAGAUUCGUUAAGGAAUACCAAUAGUGAAGGCAGCUAACAGAUUAACAACUGACGCUAAGGAGUGGAAGCUAAAGGAGCGAUGCGGAUUAGGUACCCGGUGUAGUUUUAGCCGUCAACGAUGCGGGUUAAUAUGGUAUAUUCAUAUACAGCUAACGCGUUAAACCCGCCGCCAGAGGAGUACGGUGGCAACAUUAAAACUCAAAAGAAUUGACUGUAUCCUACAAAAGUAGAGGGGCACGUUGCUUAAUUCGAUAACCCGCGCAAAACCUUACCAAUUUUUGAAUACUUUUUAAAUACGUUUUUAAUUGUACAGGUGGAGCAUGGCUGCCUUCAGUUCGUGCCUUGGGGUGUCCUAUUAAGUUAGGAAACGAACGAAACCUUUGUUGUGUGUUGCUAAAUCAUACUCUAUUCUUUUAAAGAUAGGAUUCAGAUAGCACUCACACGAGAACGAUGAUUGAUCCUUUCACGGGAUAAAUCGGAAUGAAAUUAGGAGAUAAAGCCAAGUCUUCACGCCCCUUAUAAAUUGGGCUGCUAAUAUGCCAUAAAGGCGUAACAAACAGUGAUAGUUUUUUUCUAUUAACCUGCAAAUAACGUCUUAGUACGGAUUGAAUCCUGCAACUCGGAUUCAUAAAGUUAGAUUUGCUAGUAAUCGUAUAUCAGCAUCGGUACGGUGAAUUAUUACCCAGGAUUAGUACAUACCGCCCGUCACGCUUAGAGAGUUUGCUUGAUUCGAUAUACAAAAUAAGUAGAAUUAUUUCGUAAAGUUUUUAUUAAUAAUGAUUUUGCUGAUGUUGUACAAGUAGAAAUUGGAUGAUUUAAGCGAAGUCGAAACAAGGUCAUUGUAGGGGUAUCUGUAGUGG